GGUGCUAACGUCCGUCGUGGAGAGGGAAACAACCCAGACCGCCAGCUAAGGUCCCAAAUUACAGCUAAGUGGGAAACGAUGUGGGAAGGCUUAGACAGCUAGGAUGUUGGCUUAGAAGCAGCCAUCAUUUAAAGAAAGCGUAAUAGCUCACUAGUCGAGUCGGCCUGCGCGGAAGAUGUAACGGGGCUAAGCUGUAAACCGAAGCUGCGGCAAUGCAUUUUAUGUAUUGGGUAGGGGAGCGUUCUGUAAGCCGUUGAAGGUGWGUUGUAAAGCUUGCUGGAGGUAUCAGAAGUGCGAAUGCUGACAUGAGUAACGAUAAAGGGGGUGAAAAACCUCCUCGCCGGAAGACCAAGGGUUCCUGUCCAACGUUAAUCGGGGCAGGGUAAGUCGACCCCUAAGGCGAGGCCGAAAGGCGUAGUCGAUGGGAAACGGGUUAAUAUUCCCGUACUUCUUACAAUUGCGAUGGGGGGACGGAGAAGGCUAGGUGGGCCUGGCGACGGUUGUCCAGGUUCAAGUGCGUAGGCUUGAGAGUUAGGUAAAUCCGGCUCUCUCUAAGGCUGAGACACGACGUCGAGCUGCUACGGCAGUGAAGUCAUUGAUGCCAUGCUUCCAGGAAAAGCCUCUAAGCUUCAGAUUGUAAGGAAUCGUACCCCAAACCGACACAGGUGGUCGGGUAGAGAAUACCAAGGCGCUUGAGAGAACUCGGGUGAAGGAACUAGGCAAAAUGGUACCGUAACUUCGGGAGAAGGUACGCUCCUGUCGGUGAAGUCCCUUGCGGAUGGAGCUAACGGGAGUCGCAGAUACCAGGUGGCUGCAACUGUUUAUUAAAAACACAGCACUGUGCAAAAUCGUAAGAUGACGUAUACGGUGUGACGCCUGCCCGGUGCCGGAAGGUUAAUUGAUGGGGUUAGACGUAAGUCGAAGCUCUUGAUCGAAGCCCCGGUAAACGGCGGCCGUAACUAUAACGGUCCUAAGGUAGCGAAAUUCCUUGUCGGGUAAGUUCCGACCUGCACGAAUGGCGUAAUGAUGGCCACGCUGUCUCCACCCGAGACUCAGUGAAAUUGAAAUCGCUGUGAAGAUGCAGUGUACCCGCGGCUAGACGGAAAGACCCCGUGAACCUUUACUACAGCUUGGCACUGAACAUUGACCCUACAUGUGUAGGAUAGGUGGGAGGCUUUGAAACCGGUACGCCAGUAUCGGUGGAGCCGUCCUUGAAAUACCACCCUUGUAGUGUUGAUGUUCUAACUUAGACCCGUUAUCCGGGUUGAGGACAGUGCCUGGUGGGUAGUUUGACUGGGGCGGUCUCCUCCCAAAGAGUAACGGAGGAGCACGAAGGUGGGCUAAUCACGGUUGGACAUCGUGAGGUUAGUGCAAUGGCAUAAGCCCGCUUGACUGCGAGAAUGACAAUUCGAGCAGGUGCGAAAGCAGGUCAUAGUGAUCCGGUGGUUCUGUAUGGAAGGGCCAUCGCUCAACGGAUAAAAGGUACUCCGGGGAUAACAGGCUGAUACCGCCCAAGAGUUCAUAUCGACGGCGGUGUUUGGCACCUCGAUGUCGGCUCAUCACAUCCUGGGGCUGAAGUCGGUCCCAAGGGUAUGGCUGUUCGCCAUUUAAAGUGGUACGCGAGCUGGGUUUAGAACGUCGUGAGACAGUUCGGUCCCUAUCUGCCGUGGGCGUUGGAAGAUUGAAGGGGGCUGCUCCUAGUACGAGAGGACCGGAGUGGACGAACCUCUGGUGUUCGGGUUGUCAUGCCAAUGGCAUUGCCCGGUAGCUAAGUUCGGAAUCGAUAACCGCUGAAAGCAUCUAAGCGGGAAGCGAGCCCUGAGAUGAGUCUUCCCUGACCCCUUGAGGGUCCUAAAGGGUUGUUCGAGACUAGAACGUUGAUAGGCAGGGUGUGUAAGCGUUGUGAGGCGUUGAGCUAACCUGUACUAAUUGCCCGUGAGGCUUAACCAUACAACACCCAAAGGGUUUUG
rnacentral:rRNA from 1 species